rnacentral:rRNA from 1 species
UACGAAGGGGGCUAGCGUUGUUCGGAAUCACUGGGCGUAAAGCGCACGUAGGCGGAUUUUUAAGUCAGGGGUGAAAUCCCGAGGCUCAACCUCGGAACUGCCUUUGAUACUGGAGAUCUUGAGUCCGGAAGAGGUAAGUGGAACUGCGAGUGUAGAGGUGAAAUUCGUAGAUAUUCGCAAGAACACCAGUGGCGAAGGCGGCUUACUGGUCCGGAACUGACGCUGAGGUG